GCUCACCCACCUCUCUUCAUUCUAAAGCAGACGCUACUAAAGUUCACACUCUUCAUCCUUGUCAUGUUUACGCUCAACAGAUUCAUCCAUAUGUGAAUUUGGGUGGGAGCUUCUAUCAAUAAGCAUUUUUUUUGUGCAAAACUUUCCCAUGUUAAUGAUUUCUGGGAAUGGUCUCUUUGUAUAGGUUGCAUAAAAUGGUUAGCGGUCGAGCUAAUCAUUAGUCUUAAGUUUGGCAUAGAGCUGGCAGCACCCACCAAUUUUCCAAUUGCUCACACCUUGGUUUUGUGUUUCACUGUUUUGCUGGUUCUCAAGCUCGAUAACGUCGUCGAUUACUCCUGGUGCUAAAUUGAGUCUGUUUGUGCUUGGUUCACGGUUUCGUCGAGGUUGUUGCUUUGUUUAGUCCGAUUGAUUUGCAAUUUUCAGCUUUGUUCAUCAAUGAAGGUCUAAUUCUUACUUGAUACUCCUCUAAAUUUCAAGUUUGAUUUUGAUGGUAUGAUUCAGACUAUGCUUCCGACGAGUGAUAUUUAGCUUAAUUGAUAUUUGAUUAUUGGGACUCAAUUUUUUUUUUGCGUUGAUGAAUACUCUGGAAUCUUGUGUUUAAUUUAAUUUGACUUGAAUGCCACCUAGUUAAAGAGCUAGACCUACUGGUUGAUUGUUGGAAGAGAAGGGAUGGAAACUUUAGGUGAAAAUAUAGUAAUUUUAAGUUUUUUUUAAUUAGAUUAUAUUGUUUCCUGAUUUUCCAAACACUAAAUUAACAUGUGAGCUCUAACUUCAACAAUCUCGAUGUCUAUUUUGCCGUGGACUCUCCUUAAUUUAAUUAAGAGAAUGUGGAGUGGAUUUUUUACAAGUUAAAAGCUGCACAUUCCUUUUGCAAUCUUGUUAUCACUUCUUAUUAUCAUAACUUUUUCUUGUUUAACCUCUAAGUAAGUAUUGAUUUGCGGACACAUUUACUUGCACAAAUACAUCAUAUGGCUGGGAACAUGCAUUAAUUUACUAAUGGAUUUAUAGCUUUCAAAUUGUAGCUGCUGACUUGUGUGUGGAAAAUCUUUAUUAGCUAUUAGGAAAAUAAAAAUGAAUAUCGUAGUUUGCUUUAGGCGUGAUGAAUAAUCAAUUAUCAUGACUAUAAGUACGGUUCUCGUGGCAUAGUCAUGAUAUAUAAUCUCCAAUUCGGGUGUGCAUUUUAUGUGACCCGACCAUAAUUUUAAAUAAUAAUAAAAUAAAUAUGUGGUAGAUCGCGGGUGCAUUUUAUGUGACACGGUUUGCAAUGUGUACAACACGACAAGUGUACGAUAAUUGUGCCUUGUUCCAGAAAUAAUUCCAUAAAAAGCGGUUAGAAGGUUAAAAAUAUACAUUAGGUUUUAAAUAUAUAAUUAAUCAGAUAAUUAGGCCAAUUAUUAAUAGUUGAGCGACCGUGCUAAAACCACGGAACUCGCCAGUGCCUAACACCUUCUCCUGGAUUAACAAAAUUCCUUACUCGAUCUUCUGUAUUCACAGACCAUAAAUAAGAGUCAAUUUUCUCGAUUUGGGAUUUAAAAUAAACCGGUGACUUGGGACACCAUAAACUAUUCCAAGUGGCGACUCUAUAAUAAAUAAAUAAUCUCAUUUCGAUUUAUGUCACUUUAAUUGGAAAAACUCCCUUAUAGCCCCUUUCGGGGUAGAAAAAGGAUGUGUGACAGGCGCCCAUGAUGCUUGGUUUUGGGUCGUGACAAGUUGGUAUCAGAGCCUAGGUUACAUAGGUCUUACGAGUCAUGAGCAGGUUUAGUAGAGUCUUGUGGAUCGGUACAGAAAUGUUUGUACUUAUCUUCGAGAGGCUGCCGAACCCUUAGGAAACUUCACAUUCUUGAAUUCUUGUCGUGUGAAUCUAUUGAUUCUAGUAGCUAAAAUUUUGCUAUUCUAUUUUUUCACAGAUGGUGAGAGCACGUACUACUGGGUAGGAUGGACAACCACCAGUACCAGCCGCGAGAUACCGAGGUCGCGGUAAAGGAUGUGGUAGGGGUAGAGGUACAGCUCGCACACCAGCUAGGGCAGUACCUGCAGAUCGACCAGUUGCUAGUUCAGGAGCAGGUCCCAGUUGUGGAUGCGCCAGUGGGGCCAGCUCAGGCACCGCCCAUACCUAUUGUGAUUCCAGGCCUUCAGGAGGCCUUAACUCAAAUUCUGACUGCGUGCACCAGUCUUGCUCAGGCAGUCUCUAUUUCGGCCGCAGCAACCACUUCUCAGGUAGGGGGAGGCACCAGAAUCUCGC
rnacentral:lncRNA from 1 species